rnacentral:siRNA from 1 species
AGGGGAUAAUGAUGAUCAUAGCC